ACGGGGUAGUAACGGGUAGGUGACGUACCCUCGGGUCGGGGAUAGCCACGGGAAACUGUGGGUAAUACCCGAUAACCUCUUCAGGCGUGAUAGCUUGGAGAGCAAAGGUGAGAUUCCACCUGGGGAGCGGCCUGCUUCGUAUUAGCUAGUUGGUGAGGUAACGGCUCACCAAGGCGACGAUGCGUAGGGGGUGUGAGAGCAUGACCCCCACCACUGGGACUGAGAUACUGCCCAGACACCUACGGGUGGCUGCAGUCGAGAAUCUUCGGCAAUGGGCGCAAGCCUGACCGAGCGACGCCGCGUGUGGGAUGAAGGCCCUUGGGUUGUAAACCACUGUCAGAGGGGAUGAAAUGCACGAGAGUUAUCUCUUGUGUUUGACAUAGCCUCAGAGGAAGCACGGGCUAAGUUCGUGCCAGCAGCCGCGG
rnacentral:rRNA from 1 species